AAUCACAUGAUUCUCAACGCACAAAACCUCGUUGAUUCUCAUUUCACAGCGAUCAGAAGGUAAUCCAACACUUUCUCACAAUAAUACUAUAAACAACUAUAUUGCUAUAUGUUAUACUGUAUCUGAUCAGAUGGUGCUAUCUUAAUCACACAACAGUCAUUUUAAUUUAACAUUGAAUAUGUAUCCCUUUACCACAAACACAACAAAGAAGCAUCAUUUGUCCUAGUUUUUAAGAACGAGCGCGAGGGUUUAUGGAAAACCUGGAUGAGCGAUAAUGCGUGACGUAUCUGAAGCGUCAGACAUCGCAGAUCAGACAUCGUCAGACAAAACAAACAGAUGGACGAGCAGGAGGAAGACUCAAAACUUUAUCAAUUCUGGAUUAACAAUCAAGUACGGAGAGAAAGCAUGGUACAUAAACCAGACCUUUCACUAGAUGCAGACAUAUGUUUUGAGCUUCAUCGUGAUGAAUGUGAGGGAGUCAAAGAUGAGAUGUUUGUACAUCAGUCGUCUGUUGCUCUCCUCGUUCAUCAGUCAGUAUGUUAUGAACUCGUCUGCUGGGACAGAAAGUGAAACAUGUAUUAAAACCGACUUAAGGAAGUCUCUCUCUCUCUCUCUCUCUCCUUGAAUGAAAGGCUCUUCAAAAUGAGACUUGAGAGGACUUAUUUACACACAUCCUUUAAAACGUCAACAUUUUUGAUCACAAUCUGAUCAUUCAGCAUGUGUGUCAAUCGUUGAUGCUUAAUAAUGAAACAAGCGUUUACAUUAUACAGACAAUAUAGACACAAGUGGAACGAGGAUGUGAAGAAUUUAACAUAACAGAGCUUAGCAAUACAAGCUGUGAAGUUAUGGAUAAAAAUAUUGAAUUGAUGUUUAAACAUGUAUAUAUCUGUAUAGGCCUAUUCAUGAUAAAAAUCACAAUUAUUAUUUAUGUUGAAAAACAGAAACAGUUUUAUUGAAGCACUGUGGAACACAUGAUAUGUGUUGAGUGCUUCUGUUGGUAUUUAAGUGUAAAAACAAAUCCUUUUAUUUAUGUUUACUGUGUUGAACUCAAACAUUUAAACACAACGGAGCCAAACAAUAUAAGCAGUGAAGUUAUGUUUAAAAUUUUUAAUUUGUGUGCACUUUGUUUUUGUAAUUGUAUACUUUUUUUAUAACUUUUUUAAUUUUAAAAGAAAUAAAAUUUUGUGAGGUUAAUGCUUCUCGUUUCUUUAUCAAAUGCAAAUAAAUGGCGCCACCUAGAGCAAAAUCUGUGAUACUGCCACACCCAUGAGAAAAUAAUCAAACUCUUCGUUCAAGUCCUGUAAAACUCAGAGUCAUCCAUAAUAUUAAUAUUAGGAGCCGAAUAUGGUUACAACGAACAUGCACAAUCAUUUCUAGAUUUAUUUUCAUAAAAAUAUACAUGUAAUAUCUUACGUUUUUAAGCAAACUUUACCUUGAUGUGUGUGUGAUGACGAGUCAUUGACGUUCCAAUGUAACAUCUGGAUCCUGAAAAGCCAGUUGAGAUCCAGUGCUGCGGCACACUGCUGUCAAUGCAACUAGUCAUAUACGAGUUAAAUAUUAAAAGACUAAGAUUGUCAUUUCGUUGUCGAGUCUAAAGGUGAGAAAUACGGUGAGUCUUGUGCUCAAUUGUGCUGAUAUCACACACACACACACAGAGAUCACAGACAGCUAAUGUGGAUAUAUCUGAACCUCAUCCAUUCUCUUUCACCGUGUUCACCAGGUAAUAAAACACUUUCAUCUUCAAAUAUUAUAUAAAGUCUGGUUAAAUGGAUGUGCGAUGUUUAUUAAAUGUGGUCUUUAUAAAACACUACUAUGAAAGUGGAAUGUAGGACUUUCUCACAUGACGAUUCAGAGACGUGUGGAGGGGUUACAGUGCCAGAAUCACUGUAAUAUAGAGAGAAAAUAUACUUUUCUGUAUGUUAAGUGUUUGUGUUGAUUAGUAUUAGUAUGGUACAGUUAUUAGUAUACUAAACUAUAGGUUUACUAUACUUAACUAGUAAAUUGAUAACCUGAAAUACUGUACUGUAGUUUAUUAUAGUAAAAUACUAAAGUAUACUUUACUGACUCAAGAGUUUAACUGAAAACAGAUGCGUAACGCUGUUGAGCAUUCAUUCAUCUGUCAUUCAUUCAUCUUCACAACAAAACAACACUUCACAUACAAUAAAAGUGACUUCACAUGACCCAUACUACAGUGAAUAACUAGAGACACCUGGAACUCACGCCUACACUAUAAGACAAAAGAUCAAUUUUGGGAGGUGAAUGGAGGUGAAAACAUGCCUGACUUUCUGCAGCUGAAGCAUCAAACCUCACAGAACAUCAAACUUCAAAACACAGACCCACAACAAGCCAAGAAAACACCAGAGAAAAGAUGUUCGAAGCUUGUUCACAGGGAAAGCAUGGAGCACACGCCAAACAGUGAGUAUUUGAUCAUCAGCAUCUUCAUUUAUCUGGACAUUUAUGAUUGGUGGAUAUUUCUUUUUUAUUUCCAGUUUCUCUUGAUGCAAAAGGAACAGAAGAGAGUCGCAGAUCAGAAGAGACAUUCGCACAAUCACAUAAUAAGACUGAUGAAGAAAACAAACCAACGCUGGAAUAAAACGGAAUGAAAGCAAUAACCUCAAUGACACUGGAAACAGCAGAAUGAUGAAUGACAUUAAAUGAAUGAAUGAAUAUAUGAUGACAGGAUUGAAAUGUUUGGAUGAACGGUUCCUGAGAGGUGGAAAAUACCAACAGAUGAAAGGAACCUUGAUAACAUGAAACAAAAUGUUGAGAUAUAGACGAAUGCUGAAAAAUGUUUGAAUUUAAAUGCUGAGUUUCAUAUUCACGCACUUCGACCGCUGUAUUUUAAUGAGUUAAGCUGAAAAGCCACAAACCGUUUACAUUUUCAGUUUUUAAUUGAAAUAAUUUCUGGAGCACAUGUGGGUUUAAAUAAAUGUAAGUGAUCCAUUUCUCACUUUGACAAAAGUUACUGGAUUAGUCAGUUCUUUCAAACAGAAAAUGUUUAGAUGAGACAUUGAUCUAUGACUUAUACACACUUAAAUAUUCAUAAAUAUGGAUGGACUUGUCAGG